UUUGUGUGUGUUUUUUUUUUAAGGGAAAAUGAUUUUCUGGCCAGAUGCCCCAAUCUGGCUGUGUAACUAGGAAAGGUGGAAAGUUCUCUAAAAAUAAAAUGACCCUUGAAAAAGACUGGAGAGGUUCACAGCCUUUAAAUAUCUUUCUAGCUGGUGGAAAAAACCACCAGGGAAAAAAAUGAGCAGGACCACAUGUGAUUUCUUUUUCUUUUCAGAUUAUUUGUGUGACUGGAGAAAGGCCUGAUCCAAGGUCCUAGCUGCUAUCCACAGUCAAGGACGUUUGGAAUGUUUGGCCUAAGGAGGAACUAACUACAAGGAUUUAUGGAUAUAUAAGAACUCUAAUUAACUCUGAGGCUUGCCUGGGAUUUUGGCUUUUGUGUCUAGGUUGGUACAACACACACUUGGGGGUCAGGGGCCAUUUCAUUUUGUGUUACAUCCUUCCUAGGUAGUGAAGUGUUCAUACUUCUCCUCUAGUCCAUAAAAUUCAAAUAACUUAAAUGUUUUCUCUAUAGUACUUCCAUACCUAGUAUAAUAAAUUGCAUUCAGGAAUUAGUCAAAAUCCAUUGAAACUUGGAAAGUUAAAAAUCUUCAUUAAACAAUAGGAUUUUUUUUCUUUAAAUGCAUCUUCCCAGUGCUGGACAAUGCACAAGACAGAAGAAAAUUAGACUGAAAAGGAUCCUGGACCUCAAAGCAUUUGCAGUCUGAUAGUAUAUAAAUAAUAUAAGUAUAUAUUGCUUAGGAGUGAGAAACAAUCAAAGUAGCCAAUAGCCAGUGUAUAAUCAAAGUGUAUAGCCAAAUUUUGCUUUACAUGAGUCACACUAAAAUUAAAAACUAGUAUCAUUUUAAUAAUGGAAAAUUGAUUCUGUUUUGCUGAAUGAGUGCAGAUUGGAAGCUUUAGCAACUAGAGAAUACUGAGGGAAAGCCAAGUGACUUGAAUCUCACUUCUUAUACUCUAAGAAAGAAAAUCCAACAUUGUCAAUAAUUUCUCAUAAUAUGAUUCAUUCUCCAUUUCACCUUUUUUGUUGUUGCUGUCAAUAAGAUAAAAUAAUGAACAGUUCUACCCACCUUAUAUCACUGAAUUGCCAGUUUGCUUGAUACAGUCUCCAAGAAGGAAUUCAAUUCUUACAACUUUAUCUAGCAGAUCCUAAGUCCACCAACUGCAUGGCCACCACACCCCUAAAAGUAUAAACCUUCCUGUCCAGCUCAGUGCCUGUCUUUCUUUUCUCCUCUCCCUCGUACNGAAUGCUUGCCUAGCACGGGUGAGGACCUGGGUUCAAUCCCCAGUAUGCAAAAAGAAAAGAAAAAAAGUAAAGAAGUUCAUUUAUUCUAAACAUUUUUUUUAUUGUAUCAGUAUUAUUAACAGGGAAAAGGAAGGAAAAAGGCAUUUCUAAACUAAGUGCUCAUAAAAUCACUUUGUUUUAAAAUUUUAUCUUUUGAAUUUCAUCCAUAUAAGUACUUAAUUUUUAAUUGGUUAUAAUUAUGAUAAAAUACAAUUAUUAUUUCAUUCUACUUGUCUAAUUGCCUACUUUUGGAACGAUAAGGAAUGAAAUCAAUAUUUGUCAUGUUUCUCUUGUGUUUUUAUUACACACACACACACACACACACACACAUUACUUUUCAGUGCUCAGGAUGGAACCCAGGACCUUGUGCCUGCUGGGCAAAGGCUCCAUCACAGAGCAACAUCCCCAAACUGUCUUUAUAAUAAAAUAGUUCCAUAACUCAUGGUCCUAUCAUAUUUCACUGCUGUUAUAUUGCUGAAUGUGUAGAUUAUUUUCUAUUUUUCAGUACUCCAAGAAAUGUGGUUUUGAGCACUUCUAUGAUUAGAAUUUUUCUUUUAGACUUUUUUCCUUAAGUUAAAACUUCUGAAAGUAGGGAGGAAAGGAGCUUAAAAGUCAAACUUUAAAAAUACUACUAGUUUUUUAAACUGCCAUAGCAAUGUACAGAAUAUACUACUUUCACCAAAAUUUUGCCAUAAAAACCAAUUGCUAACAAAGAAAUUAUAUUUAGUCAAUGCGAGUAAAUUAUCAGAUACUAGAUGAAUGCUGUAGCAUUGGGGAAUGCUGGUCCUGCAUUAAAGGAAGGUAAAAUUUUAGAUUUAAGAAAUAACUGUGUGAUCCUGGUCAAAUUGCUUAAUUUCUCUAAUCUCAUUAUUGCUUUUCUGUAUGUUUGCCAAAAUGAUAGUCUUAUAUCUUUCAAUAUAAGACUUCUUUCUGUUUUUAGUCAUCUCAAGGGGUCUUCCUUUUAAUGACUCAUUGAAUAGUUAAUAUUUAUUGAGUACCUUCUGUAAGCCGGUCGUUUAAAAAGUUCUUUUUGAUACUGAAGAUUGAACUCAGUGAUACUUUACCACUGAGCUACAUCCCUAGCCCUUUUUUUUAAAAUUUUGAGAUAGAGUUUCACUAAGUUGCUAUUUUUUAUUUUGAGAUAGAGUUUCACUAAGUUACUAUUUUUUUAUUUCGAGAUAGAGUUUCACUAAAUUGCUUAGGACCUUGCUGAAUUGCUGAGGCUGGUCUCAAACUUGCAAUUCUGCUGCCUCAGCCUCCCGAGUUGCUGGGAUUACAGGUGUGCACCACAGCGCCUGGCACUAACCAUUCUUUAAGCACUUGACAUAUUUUAUCUCAUCUAAUUCACAUUACAAACCAUUUUGGUCAGUACAGUUAUCAUACCCAGUGUACUGAUGCAGAACCAAGGUUUAGGCUAAUGCAAUAGAGGCUGCCCAAGUUCUCAUAGUGGUAUGCAGAGGAAGGACGUAGAAUUCAGUUUAAUUCCAGUGUCCUUCAUUUUAAACCACCUUGGCAUAUUUCCUCCUAAAAAAAACCUCAAAA
rnacentral:lncRNA from 1 species